UCCAACCCCACUUCCAGGCUGCCGUUUGCUGUCACAGAGUGACGUUUUCAGCAUGGCUUCAGUUCUUUUGCCCAAACAGAGGAAAACUUGCAGGGACAUAUGUCUUGGAGGAGUUCCCUAUCAGUUUGUAGGACGAAAGAAUGGUGAGAGACAUGGGAAGAGAACAGCUGAUCGGAUCCCGGUCCUCUUCCUCGAAGCAUCCAUGGAAGGCUCUCGAAUGGCUGAAUGUCAGGGGUGCUUCAUCAGCCUCACUAAAGAUGGAGGAGGAGAGGGGUCAAAGCUGGGCUCAGAUGAAGCUAGGACAGUGUGGCAGAGCCCUGGGCUCCCUGCGGGGCAUGGGGAAGCCUCUGAGGAUGG
rnacentral:lncRNA from 1 species